AAUCUGCCGCAAUGGACGAAAGUCUGACGGAGCAACGCCGCGUGAGUGAUGAAUGUCUUCGGAUCGUAAAACUCUGUUGUUAGGGAAGAAUAAGUAUCGGUCGAAUAGGCCGGUUCCUGGACGGUACCUUACUAGAAAGCCCCGGCUACGUACGUGCCAGCAGCCGCGGUAAUACGUAGGGGGCAAGCGUUGUCCGGAAUUAUUGGGCGUAAAGGGCGCGCAGGCGGUCUUCUAAGUCUGAUGUGAAAUCUCGUAGCUUAACUACGAGCGGUCAUUGGAAACUGGGAGACUUGAGUACAGAAGAGGAGAGUGGAAUUCCACGUGUAGCGGUGAAAUGCGUAGAUAUGUGGAGGAACACCAGUGGCGAAGGCGGCUCUCUGGUCUGUAACUGACGCUGAGGCGCGAAAGCGUGGGGAGCGAACA
rnacentral:rRNA from 1 species